rnacentral:rRNA from 1 species
AUUGAACGCUGGCGGCAUGCCUUACACAUGCAAGUCGAACGGUAACAGGUCUUCGGAUGCUGACGAGUGGCGAACGGGUGAGUAAUACAUCGGAACGUGCCUAGUAGUGGGGGAUAACUACUCGAAAGAGUGGCUAAUACCGCAUGAGAUCUACGGAUGAAAGCAGGGGAUCGCAAGACCUUGUGCUACUAGAGCGGCCGAUGGCAGAUUAGGUAGUUGGUGGGAUAAAAGCUUACCAAGCCGACGAUCUGUAGCUGGUCUGAGAGGACGAUCAGCCACACUGGACUGAGACACGGCCCAGACUCCUACGGGAGGCAGCAGUGGGGAAUUUUGGACAAUGGGCGAAAGCCUGAUCCAGCAAUGCCGCGUGCAGGAUGAAGGCCUUCGGGUUGUAAACUGCUUUUGUACGGAACGAAAAGCCCCGGGUUACUACCCUGGGGUCAUGACGGUACCGUAAGAAUAAGCACCGGCUAACUACGUGCCAGCCGCCGCUGUAA